rnacentral:rRNA from 1 species
GGCUCAGGAUGAACGCUAGCUACAGGCUUAACACAUGCAAGUCGAGGGCAGCACAGUGUAGCAAUACGACGGGUGGCGACCGGCGCAAGGGUGCGUAACGCGUGAGCAACUUGCCCGUUUCUGGGGAAUAACCGGUGGAAACGCCGACUAAUACCCCAUGGCAUCAUGGUGAGGCAUCUCUUCAUGAUUAAAGAAAUUCGGAAACGGAUAGGCUCGCGUGACAUUAGCUAGAUGGCGGGUAACGGCCCACCAUGGCGACGAUGUCUAGGGGUUCUGAGAGGAAGGUCCCCCACACUGGAACUGAGACACGGUCCAGACUCCUACGGGAGGCAGCAGUGAGGAAUAUUGGUCAAUGGUCGGAAGACUGAACCAGCCAAGUAGCGUGAAGGAUGAAGGUUCUAUGGAUUGUAAACUUCUUUUAUACGGGAAUAAAACCUCCCACGUGUGGGAGCUUGUAUGUACCGUAUGAAUAAGCAUCGGCUAACUCCGUG